UACGUAGGGAGCAAGCGUUGUCCGGAAUCAUUGGGCGUAAAGCGCGCGUAGGUGGCCUCAUAAGUCCGCUGUGAAAGUCAAAGGCUCAACCUUUGAAAGCCGGUGGAUACUGUGAGGCUAGAGUACGGAAGAGGCGAGUGGAAUUCCUGGUGUAGCGGUGGAAUGCGCAGAUAUCAGGAGGAACACCAAUAGCGAAGGCAGCUCGCUGGAACGGUACUGACGCUGAGGCGCGAAAGCGUGGGGAGCAAACAGG
rnacentral:rRNA from 1 species